CUUCCCUUGGCUGCUGGCUGUGCUUGCAGGGAAGUUGUCAGAUGUGCUCACCCACAGCUUAGAGAGGAGAGUCACUGCUGCCACCAUCCUUUUCCUGGGGCAGGGCAGAGAGAUUUAGAAAGCAAUUUUAUCUGCAACCACGGAUUAGUGCAGGAAGAGGCAGAGAAAUUGAAAAGGGGUGACAGGCUCAGGAGCAGGGACUCAGGAGGGCAGAGGGGGGGGAGAUGUGGCCCCUGCCCUGCCUGCCAGAGCCUCCCCAGCGCCAGAGCCUUGGUAGAAGGGACGGAUCCUACAAAAGGAGACGGGCGGCCCCAUCAAGUGGCAGCUCGGCAAACUGCAGGGAAAUGCGACGGAACGGGUUCAGCAGGACGGCUAAAUAUUGAGCAGGGUGAAGUCCUAAUAAAAAAGGCAAAAGUCACUGCUAAUAAUCUGGAUAUUAUUUCUCCCUUCUUUUCUUUCAAACCUGAGCAAGGUAGGUUUCAGUAAGAAUGAAUCUGCAGUUCGGAGCGCUCCAGCAGACCUUCACCUCCAUGCUGCCCAAGUCACCGCUACCUCAGCAUCUCCUAACUGCAGGAGGUGCAGUUCCACUACCCAAUGCCAGCAAAGAUCUGCCUAACACCCAGCUUCCCACCCCCUCCUGCAGAGAACAGGCUGAUUAAAAAGUAAAAUAAGUUAAAAAUAAUUAUAAUCCACGGAUCAAUGUCUUUCCAACCAGGAAGCCCCUUUUUCUCAGAACGGUAGGGUUGCACAGGAAUUCUUGACUUUUUGUACUUUUUAGAAGGUUUCUGGGACCUGGGAGAGCGCUGAUGCUAGAGGCCCUGGCCUGCAUCACUCACACAGGAUACAGGAUGUGUCUCAUGCCCCCAUCCUAGCAGGGCAAGGAUUUUACAGUCUUAUAUCAAGGCCAAUAGUUCCUGGGUAUCCAGGGUGGGAGAAAGCUUGCAAGAGAGCUCCUGGCUUAGGGGUGCACUGGGGGCAUCCCCGAACAUGCUCAGCUGCUCAGGAGUUGGGUUAAAGCAGCAGCCAGGCCUGUCCAAAGCUGUGAAAAGCCUGACGGACGUAUCUUGCCGCGUACCAUGCUGUAUUCGCUUGUCAAAAGCAGAGCACAGCACAGAGGCAUCUCACUCUUGAAAGGGCCUGGCAGCAAGCGUGGGUGGGAGCGCAGCCGUGGCUCCGAUCGGGUUAUCAAUCAUCCCUCCACCACGUGGCCACCGGUGCCCCCCAAAUGGUGCCCGACUGAGUGCCCCGCGUGUGCCAGAAAGCCACAUGGCCCGGGCAGCUGCUGAGCAGUCGGCCCAGCAAAUGCCAGGGGAAAACAAAGCGUCCAGCCACUUCUCCUGAAGAGCUACGUGUAAAUUUGAUGACAGGCUGGGUUAUUGCCCCCGGUUUAAUUGCCUGGGUUGGAUUGCUGCUGGCUGGGUCUCCAUCCUGGGAGACAGCUUGGUGCUUGCUUGCGGUCCCUGUACCGUGUCCCUGGCGUGUCAGG
rnacentral:lncRNA from 1 species